rnacentral:rRNA from 1 species
AGCGAACGCUGGCGGCAGGCCUAAUACAUGCAAGACGAGGGGUAGCAAGAUUGUAGCAAUACAAUUGUUGACGACCGGCAAACGGGUGCGGAACACGUACACAACCUUCCUACAAGUGGGGAAUAGCCCAGAGAAAUUUGGAUUAAUACCCCGUAACAUAGCGAUGUGGCAUCACAUUGCUAUUAUAGCUUCGGCGCUUGUUGAUGGGUGUGCGGCUGAUUAGAUAGUUGGCGGGGUAACGGCCCACCAAGUCUACGAUCAGUAGCUGAUGUGAGAGCAUGAUCAGCCACACGGGCACUGAGACACGGGCCCGACUCCUACGGGAGGCAGCAGUAAGGAAUAUUGGACAAUGGACGCAAGUCUGAUCCAGCCAUGCCGCGUGAAGGAUUAAGGUCCUCUGGAUUGUAAACUUCUUUUAUAAGGGACGAAAAAAGGUCUUUCUAGAUCGUCUGACGGUACCUUAUGAAUAAGCACCGGCUAACUCCGUGCCAGCCGCCGCGGUAAGAC